AUUGAACGCUGGCGGCAUGCCUUACACAUGCAAGUCGAACGGCAGCGGACCUUCGGGUGCCGGCGAGUGGCGAACGGGUGAGUAAUAUAUCGGAACGUACCUUUCAGUGGGGAUAACGUAGCGAAAGUUACGCUAAUACCGCAUAUUCUGUGAGCAGGAAAGCAGGGGAUCGCAAGACCUUGCGCUGAUUGAGCGGCCGAUAUCAGAUUAGCUAGUUGGUGAGGUAAAGGCUCACCAAGGCGACGAUCUGUAGCGGGUCUGAGAGGAUGAUCCGCCACACUGGAACUGAGACACGGUCCAGACUCCUACGGGAGGCAGCAGUGGGGAAUUUUGGACAAUGGGCGCAAGCCUGAUCCAGCCAUGCCGCGUGAGUGAAGAAGGCCUUCGGGUUGUAAAGCUCUUUCGGCCGGGAAGAAAUCGCACAGGUUAAUACCCUGUGUGGAUGACGGUACCGGAAUAAGAAGCACCGACUAACUACGUG
rnacentral:rRNA from 1 species